rnacentral:lncRNA from 1 species
GAAAAAAAGAAAAAAAUCAGCUCAGCAUGUAUAAAAGCUCAUAGAAAGCUUCAUCUCUGGACAUCCCAAUGUGACUUUUCAGGCAGCUAUGUUGUUCAGAGUCUUAUGUCUCCACCCAUUGUUUUCUGUUUUCUAAAACCUUAGGUCAGGGCCUUGUGAAACUUGUUAGUUUCAGGAACUUCCUUAAGGCUUGUGAGUUGUUUAUCUUCGGAGUCUCUUGAGCCUCCUAGAUUCUUCCUGGAAAGACUGUUUCAACUCAGAGGGAAUUGCUAUACAAUAGGUUUAAAUGGACUGAGGAUGGAAUGGCUGUUAGGGAAUUGAGCAGAGUCACCAAUACUGGGAUUCUGGGAAGCCAGUGACUCACUCACAGAACUCUCCAGAAAUGCCUCUGAGCUGUAUCAGCAUGGGACUGGAAUGAACAACAGCUGCUCUUCUUGAUCCCUGGUGGCACUGGACAGGAGACUAUACUGCAUGCCAUUCCAGCCACCUGCCUACUGGUGGGAGAGAGCAGCUGCUGAAGUAGGCACUGUCUACAGGGAGCCUUUGCUCUGCCCAGCUGUUGCAUGUGCAAACAAAAACGUGUGUGCACCUUUCAAUUUCUAAACGUGUGGUCACUCUUCAACUGCUCAGUGCUCUCCU